rnacentral:rRNA from 1 species
UACAGAGGUCCCGAGCGUUAGGCGGAAUCACUGGGCUUAAAGCGUGUGUAGGCGGGUCCGUAAGUGCCUUGGGAAAUCCCACCGCUCAACGGUGGAACUGCUGGGCAUACUGCGGGUCUUGAGCCAGCUAGGGACGACCGGAACAGACGGUGGAGCGGUGAAAUGCGUAGAUAUCGUCUGGAACGCCGAAGGUGAAAACAGGUCGCUGGGGCUGCGCUGACGCUGAGACACGAAAGCCAGGGGAGCAAACGGG